rnacentral:misc_RNA from 1 species
UACGUAGGGGGCAAGCGUUGUCCGGAAUUAUUGGGCGUAAAGCGCGCGCAGGCGGUUGAUUAAGUUCGGUGUUUAAGGCCAAGGCUCAACCUUGGUUCGCACUGGAAACUGGUUAACUUGAGUGCAGAAGAGGAAAGUGGAAUUCCACGUGUAGCGGUGAAAUGCGUAGAGAUGUGGAGGAACACCAGUGGCGAAGGCGACUUUCUGGGCUGUAACUGACGCUGAGGCGCGAAAGCGUGGGGAGCAAACAGG